AGUGAACGCUGGCGGUAGGCCUAACACAUGCAAGUCGAACGGCAGCACAGUAAGCGCUUGCUCUUACGGGUGGCGAGUGGCGGACGGGUGAGGAGUACAUCGGCAUCUACUUUUUCGUGGGGGAUAACGUAGGGAAACUUACGCUAAUACCGCAUACGACCUACGGGUGAAAGCAGGGGAUCUUCGGACCUUGCGCGAUUCAAUGAGCCGAUGUCGGAUUAGCUAGUUGGCUGGGUAAAGGCCCACCAAGGCGACGAGCCGUAGCUGGUCUGAGAGGAUGAUCGGCCACACUGGAACUGAGACACGGUCCAGACUCCUACGGGAGGCAGCAGUGGGGAAUCUUGCGCAAUGGGCGAAAGCCUGACGGAGCAAACCCGCGUGAGUGAAGAAGGUCUUCGGAUCGUAAAGCUCUGUUAUUGGGAAAGAAAAAAAGUGUAAGUACCUCUGCACGUCUUGACGGUACCUAAUGAGAAAGCCACGGCUAACUCCGUG
rnacentral:rRNA from 1 species